rnacentral:rRNA from 1 species
AAUCAACGCUGGCGGCGCGCUUAACACAUGCAAGUCGAACGAGAAAGUGGAGCAAUCCAUGAGUACAGUGGCGCACUGGUGAGUAACACGUGGGUCAUCCACCGUCUUUGUGGGGAAUAACCUUGGGAAACCGACGGCUAAUACCGCAUAAGUCCGAGAGGAGAAAGUCGCAAGACGCAUGAGAGAGGGGCCCGCGCCCGAUUAGCUAGUUGGUAAGGUAAUGGCUUACCAAGGCGACGAUCGGUAGCCGGCCUGAGAGGGCACACGGCCACACUGGCACUGAAACACGGGCCAGACUCCUACGGGAGGCAGCAGGGGGGAAUCUUGCACAAUGGGGGAAACCCUGAUGCAGCGACGCCGCGUGAGUGAUGAAGCCCUUCGGGGUGUAAAGCUCUUUCGACAGGAACGAUAAUGACGGUACCUGAAGAAGAAGCUGCGGCUAACUACGUGCCAGCAGCCGCGGUAAUACGUAGGCAGCAAGCGUUGUUCGGAAUUACUGGGCGUAAAGAGUGCGUAGGUGGUUGGCUAAGUUUGGUGUGAAAUCUCCCGGCUCAACUGGGAGGGUGCGCCGAAAACUGGCUGGCUAGAGUGUGGGAGAGGGACGUGGAAUUCCUGGUGUAGCGGUGAAAUGCGUAGAUAUCAGGAGGAACACCUGCGGUGUAGACGGCGUCCUGGACCAUUACUGACACUGAGGCACGAAAGCGUGGGGAGCAAACAGGAUUAGAUACCCUGGUAGUCCACGCCCUAAACGA